GACGAGGGAUCCUAGCGUUGUUCGGAAUCAUUGGGCGUAAAGCGGGUGUAGGUGGGCUUCUAAGUCAGAUGUGAAAUCCCAGGGCUCAACCCUGGAAGUGCAUUUGAUACUGGAAGUCUUGAGUGUGGUAGAGGUUACUGGAAUUGUUGGUGUAGUGGUGAAAUACGUAGAUAUCAACAGGAAUACCGGAGGCGAAGGCGAGUAACUGGGCCAACACUGACACUGAGACCCGAAAGCGUGGGGAUCAAACAGGAUUAGAUACCCUGGUAGUCCACGCCAUAAACGAUGGAUACUUGAUGUUAGAGGUAUUGACCCCUCUAGUGUCGUAGCUAACGCGUUAAGUAUCCCGCCUGGGGAGUACGGUCGCAAGAUUA
rnacentral:rRNA from 1 species